rnacentral:rRNA from 1 species
AGCGAACGCUGGCGGCAGGCCUAACACAUGCAAGUCGAACGAACUCUUCGGAGUUAGUGGCGGACGGGUGAGUAACACGUGGGAACGUGCCUUUAGGUUCGGAAUAACUCAGGGAAACUUGUGCUAAUACCGAAUGUGCCCUUCGGGGGAAAGAUUUAUCGCCUUUAGAGCGGCCCGCGUCUGAUUAGCUAGUUGGUGAGGUAAAGGCUCACCAAGGCGACGAUCAGUAGCUGGUCUGAGAGGAUGAUCAGCCACAUUGGGACUGAGACACGGCCCAAACUCCUACGGGAGGCAGCAGUGGGGAAUCUUGCGCAAUGGGCGAAAGCCUGACGCAGCCAUGCCGCGUGAAUGAUGAAGGUCUUAGGGUUGUAAAAUUCUUUCAACGGGGACGAUAAUGACGGUACCCGGAGAAGAAGCCCCGGCUAACUUCGUG